AGAUGCAAUAACUUGGUUGGCCACGCGUAUUCUUGGGGAAUUAACACACAUGUAGCGAUGUUAUUGCUUGAGAAUACACGUAGUUGACAAGUUGAAGCACCGC
rnacentral:pre_miRNA from 1 species